AUACCUUUCUCAGCUUUUUGGCUAAGAUCAAGUGUAGUAUCUGUUCUUAUCAGUUUAAUAUCUGAUACGUGAACCAAUGGUUCACACGAUAUUAAUUUUAUUUUUUAAAGGGGUGGGUUUAUUACUGUAGCUUGCUGCAAUGCUCACGCGAGUCAUCCUUGCGUUGCACUACAGCAAGGUUUGGCGCACCCUAC